AAAAAAACAAACCUUAGAUUUUCGUGUCCAACAUUUCAUUGUUCGUCUUAUAUGAAUUUUUUUAUAAUUAGUAUUUUCAUUGUUGUUAGAUGAUAAAAUAUGAUUAAUACUUUAUGUAUAAUUUAUCUUUUUUAAUUUUUUUUUAAUAAUAUGGACGGUUAAACGUUGGAUACGGAAACCCAU
rnacentral:pre_miRNA from 1 species